rnacentral:rRNA from 1 species
CCUACGGGGGGCUGCAGUGAGGAAUAUUGGUCAAUGGGCGGGAGCCUGAACCAGCCAAGUCGCGUGAGGGAAGACGGUCCUAUGGAUUGUAAACCUCUUUAGGCGGGGAGCAAUGCCGGGCACGCGUGCCCGGUGGGAGAGUACCCGCAGAAUAAGCAUCGGCUAACUCCGUGCCAGCAGCCGCGGUAAUACGGAGGAUGCGAGCGUUAUCCGGUUUUAUUGGGUUUAAGGGGUGCGUAGGCGGAUUUUUAAGUCAGCGGUAAAAUGUCCGGGCUAAACCCGGGCGGGCAGUUGAAACUGGGAGUCUUGAGUGGGCGAGAGGUAGGCGGAAUGCGUGGUGUAGCGGUGAAAGGCAUAGAUAUCACGCAGAACUCCGAUUGCGAAGGCAGCAUACCGGCGCCCGACUGACGCUGAGGCACGAAAGCGUGGGGAUCGAACAGGAUUAGAUACCCCUGUAGUC